GAUUUCUGGUACGGCGCACUUGGCCCGCCCCGGUUACGGGGUUGUGUGCCGGUGUGCGCCUGCCAUCCUUCUAGUAAUUGCUACUUCUUCCCUUUACUGGGCUUGGAGUAGUGAUCUAGAUCAUUUACUUUGAAAAAAUUAGAGUGUUUAAAGCAGGCUUGUGCUAUGAAUACAUUAGCAUGGAAUAAUAAUUUAGGACUUUAGUCUUAUUUUGUUGGUUUCUAGGACUGAACGUAAUGAUUGAUAGGGACAGUUGGGGGUGCUAGUAUUGGCCGGUCAGAGGUGAAAUUCUUGGAUUCGGUCAAGACUAACUUAUGCGAAAGCAUU
rnacentral:rRNA from 1 species